rnacentral:lncRNA from 1 species
UGUCAUCUGACCUUGACCUCAUUUUCAUGGUUCAGUGGUCAAAGUUAAGUUUUUAUACGACCGCUAAAAUUGAAAAAUUUUUGGUCGUAUAUUGGUAUCACGUUGGCGUCAGUGUCCGAAGACUUUUGAUUUUCGCGCUUUAACUUGGUAUAAGUGAAUAGAAAUCUAUGAAAGGAGUAGGUCCGGUAAGGACCGAUUUUGGCCUCAAAUUUCAGGUUCAUCUGACGAAAGAUUUUGACCACUUUUUAAAUACUUGCGUGUCUAUUUCUUUUGAAUCAAUAAGUUUGUGAAAGAUUUUAACUGCUUUGGUCAUUAAAAAUUAUUUCAAUUGCUCUGAAAUUGUACCACAAUGUUUAAUACCACAAGUAAAAGGUUUGGAUUCAUUUUGUGGGUUCUGGUGCAAACAGUUAAGGUAAUAAGGGCCAAAAACUAGCCUUUUUGUAGUUUCUGGACAAUAACUUGUGUGUAAGUUUAUGGAUCUCUCUUGCAUUGAUUGUACCACAAGGUUCCAUAUCACAAAAGGAAGGCUGGGAUUGAGUUUGGGGGUAAUUGCCCAUUCAUGCGGGAAUUAGAGCCAGAAACAAGCAUUUUUGUAGUUUCUGGACAAUAACUUGUGUUUAAGAAUAUGGAUCUAUUUUAAAUCGUACUAUAAAAUCCCAUACUGCAAAGGAAAGGCUGGGUUUGAGUGUGGGGGUAAUUGCCCAGAUAGG